CGAGUAGGCGGUCGGCUAAGCGGAGUGUGAAAUCCCGGGGCUCAACCCCGGAACUGCACUCCGAACUUGCGGACUAGAGGACAGGAGGGGGAAGUGGAACUCCAGGUGGAGCGGUGAAAUGCGUAGAUAUCUGGAGGAACACCGGUGGCGAAAGCGACUUCCUGGCCUGUCCCUGACGCUGAGGCGCGAAAGCGUGGGUAGCAAACAGGAUUAGAUACCCUGGUAGUCC
rnacentral:rRNA from 1 species